AUUGAACGCUGGCGGCAUGCCUUACACAUGCAAGUCGAACGGUAGAGGGGGCAACCUCUCGAGAGCGGCGAACGGGUGAGUAAAGCAUCGGAACGUGCCCAGUAGUGGGGGAUAGCCCGGCGAAAGCCGGAUUAAUACCUCAUGAGACCUACGGGUGAAAGGGGGGGAUCGCAAGACCUCUCGCUAUUGGAGCGGCCGAUGUCAGAUUAGGUAGUUGGUGGGGUAAAGGCCUACCAAGCCGACGAUCUGUAGCUGGUCUGAGAGGACGACCAGCCACACUGGGACUGAGACACGGCCCAGACUCCUACGGGAGGCAGCAGUGGGGAAUUUUGGACAAUGGGCGAAAGCCUGAUCCUGCCAUGCCGCGUGCGGGAAGAAGGCCUUCGGGUUGUAAACCGCUUUUGUCAGGGAAGAAAUCCUUUGAGUUAAUACCUCGGGGGGAUGACGGUACCUGAAGAAUAAGCACCGGCUAACUACGUGCCAGCCGCCGCUGUAAUAC
rnacentral:rRNA from 1 species